rnacentral:lncRNA from 1 species
GGAGAACGGAGGAAUAUUCCGGUGGCUUCUCUCUGGACCAUGUCCGCCACGAUUCUCUCCCUCUUCCUUCACUCCGACCUGCUCAUAAGUCACGGACAUGCUCUGUUCCAACCUUCAGGUAGAAGCUUCACUUUCAGACAACAAAAAGUCUAUCCUUUAUUACAACGGUAACUGAUUAUAUUGAAUCUUUUUAUUAUUAUUAUAUUGCAUUUUUUUUUUAAUUAUUAUUAUUGAAUCUUUAGAAUCAAAAGAAGAGGAGAUCGUUGACUACAUCCCCGGUUUACCUCCGACGAAGCUCCGGGAUCUACCGCCGUUAUUCAAGGACUACCAAGUCUUCAAGAAAUGCGAGUUGUGUUUCGACGAGCUCCGGAGAGCUAACUGUCUUCUCUUCACUACCGCAAAUGAUCUCGAACCUACAGCCAUAGACUUCUUA